UUUCAGGUAAAAAUGAAAAUCUCAACCGUGUCAUUAUUCAUGCCAAGCCUUAAACCUGGAUCAAGCUUUGCCAUCUAAUGUCGCUCAUCAGAGACAAUUGUAAAUCCUUCAUCUACCUUAUCUUAUCUAAUACUCACAAAAACAAAGGGUGAUAUGGCAGAGACAGUUACAGUGCUCACCAAUGACUGCAAAAUGUCCACAUCUCCCAGCCUCACUUGCAGAUAGAUUGGGACCAUGGGACUAGUUCCCACCAAAGAACUAAGAGUAGAAAUAGCAUGUGUCUGGGGCCAAAGAAGUUAAAAGCUGACAUGCCUCGCCAUCCCUCUUUUCUCCUGCAAUAAUUAUCUUGGCUUGGAAGCCACAAGCCACAAGAGAAGGUGAGCUGACAGAUCCACACUGGAAUCUACAAGAGUGAAAAAUAUAAUUUCAUUGUGUUAAACCACUAAGAUUUCAGAAUUUGUCUGUUAAAACAGCAUAGCCUAUCCUGUCCUGACAAACAUAGAUAAUAUUUGGAAUAUGUAAUAACUAGUACAGAACAGGCACUAACCUAUUAGAAUGAAUGCAAUGACCAAUGAAUGAAUGUCAUCGGCUGUAAAUGACUGAUAUGGCCAUAUAAGUCUAUACCAGUUGAACAGCGAUGAAAACAACUCUACAAAUUUAUCCCAGUUUUAUAAUUGAUGAAACAGAAGCACUGAGAGCUUGCCUAAGACAAUGACUUGUAAAUGGCAGAGCAGGAAUUCAAAUCAGCUGUUUGAUACAUAGACCAUUCUCUUUCUAUCUCAACAUUCUGCUUGCUACUUGUUGAAUGAUGCCUAAAUUACCCGAACAAUUCAUCAAGACUGCAGUAGAAGUGUCCAAAUACUUAGUUAUUUAUUUAAACCAUACGGCAUGGUCCAACAGUACAUGUUUAUUCUUGUUGAAUUUUCUAUAAAUUGAACUCAUUCUUGCCUCUGUAUAGGAUGUCACUAUUAUAUUUUGCUUUUCCUUUCAAA
rnacentral:lncRNA from 1 species